rnacentral:rRNA from 1 species
AUGGGAACGCGAAGAACCUUACCUAGACUUGACAUCUUCUGCAUUAAUCGUAAUGGAUGAAAUCCCUUCGGGGACAGAAUGACAGGUGGUGCAUGGUUGUCGUCAGCUCGUGUCGUGAGAUGUUGGGUUAAGUCCCGCAACGAGCGCAACCCCUAUUAUUAGUUGUCUAACAUUAAGUUGAGCACUCUAGUGAGACUGCCCGGGUUAACCCGGGUAGGAAGGUGGGGAGUGACGUCAAAUACAUCAUGCCCCUUACUGUCUAGGGCGUACACACGUGCUACAAUGGUGGGAACAAAGGGAUGCAAGACCGCGAGGUGGAGCUAAACCUACAAAACCCCAACUCCCAGUUCGGAUUGUAGGCUGAAACUCGCCUACAUGAAGCUGGAGUUGCUAGUAAUCGCGAAUCAGAAUGUCGCGGUGAAUACGUUCCCGGGUC